AACCCACAUCACAAUCAAGGCUUCAUGAAUAAUUUAUUCCAUUUGAAUUUUUUUUCUUUUUUUAAAAAGUAUAAACCUUUUUUUGUUUUGUGGUUUUUUUUUUUUUUUUUUUUUUUUUUUUUUUUUUUUUUUUUUUUUUUUUUUUUUUUUUUUUUUUAAUUUUUUGUUUUUUUUUGGUUUUUUCUUCUUCAUUUCCUCGAUCACAAUUUGUACAACUCAGUGUUUAUGGCAUUCGGCAGAAAUAGUGUUUGUUCCUUAAAUCCGCUUUUUCUUUUCUGUGUUUUGUCACGAUGAAAUGCGAGGCUCCCUGGCACAUCCAGCCGUGCCCGAGGGGUGCUGGAACAGCUCCGGGACCUGUCCGGCGAGGCAUUGGAACAGCUCCGGGACCUGUCCGGCGAGAUGUUGGAGCAGCUCCUCGGUGGUGCUGGAACAGCUCCAGGACCUGUCCAGUGAGACAUUGGAGCAGCUCCUCGGUGGUGCUGGAACAGCUCUGGGACCUGUCCGGCGAGGCGUUGGAGCAGCUCCGGGACCUGUCCGGCGAGACGUUGGAGCAGCUGCGGGACCUGUCCAGCGAGAUGUUGGAGCAGCUCCUCGGUGGUGCUGGAACAGCUCCGGGACCUGUCCGGCGAGGUGUUGGAGCAGCUCCUCGGUGGUGCUGGAACAGCUCCGGGACCUGUCCGGCGAGGCGUUGGAGCAGCUCCGGGACCUGUCCAGCGAGACGUUGGAGCAGCUCCUCGAUGGUGCUGGAACAGCUCCGGGACCUGUCCGGCGAGGCGUUGGAGCAGCUCUGGGACCUGUCCGGCGAGGCGUUGGAGCAGCUCUGGGACCUGUCCAGCGAGGCGUUGGAGCAGCUCCUCGAUGGUGCUGGAACAGCUCCGGGACCUGUCCGGAGAGGCGUUGGAGCAGCUCCGGGACCUGUCCAGCGAGAUGUUGGAGCAGCUCCUCGGUGGUGCUGGAACAGCUCCGGGACCUGUCCAGUGAGACGUUGGAGCAGCUCCUCGGUGGUGCUGGAGCAGCUCCAGGACCUGUCCAGCGAGGCGUUGGAGCAGCUCCUCGGUGUGUCCGGCCGCGGUGUUGGGACUCCCCGUGUGUCCGGCCGUGCCGGUGCGGUGCCGGAGCGGCUCCGGGCGUGUCCAGCCGUGCCGCGGGAGCAGCUCCGAGGUGUGUCCAGCCGUGCCCGAGGGCCGCCGUGUCCAGUCACGAGGCCACAAGGCUGCAGCAGCCCCAGGCAGCGCUCGGCAAGGUCCUCACGUCCAGUUGACUCGGAAAAAACCUAAAGCUCGAUGAGUAGCAUCCUGAAAAAGUGACCCUGAGGAUUGUGGUAGGUCCCAAAUCCAGUUUUACUGUAAAUUAAGCUUUACUCCGCUGAAAAGAAAAAGUACACCCACAAAUAAUAGUAAAAAAACCCUUUAAGAACGAAGCGUAGUCCUGGGCCCUUUACUUUAAAAAAAUGAAAAAAAAAAAAUAAAUAAAACAAACAAAACCA
rnacentral:lncRNA from 1 species